rnacentral:piRNA from 1 species
UCCCAGAACCACAAGCUCGACAAGCAG